rnacentral:rRNA from 1 species
GCUAACUAUGUGCCAGCAGCCGCGGUAAUACAUAGGGGGCAAGCGUUAUCCGGAAUUAUUGGGCGUAAAGCGUGCGUAGGCGGUUUAUUAAGUCUAGUGUGAAAUUUUACAGCUUAACUGUAAAGGGUCAUUGGAAACUGGUAAACUUGAGUACGGUAGGGACAAGUGGAAUUCCAAGUGGAGCGGUGGAAUGCGUAGAUAUUUGGAAGAACACCAGUAGCGAAGGCGGCUUGUUGGGCCGGAACUGACGCUGAUGCACGAAAGCGUGGGUAGCAAACAGGAUUAGAUACCCUUGUAGUC